UCUGGGAAACAGCACCUGUACUGUUAACGUGGAGGUCACAGGAGCUUCCUGUCAGACUGCUGGAAGUGCCUUGGUGGUUGUGCUGCUCCUCCAACUCAUUCAUUGGCUUUAAGACCACUUCCUGAACCCACUGAUUGGCUGAAUACAUGUGCUUUUAUUUUUUUCUUCUUCAAAAUCCCUCCCACUGUGAUUGGUGGCUGUCUGUCCACUUUCUGCUAACUAUUGAUUAAUUUAAAAAAUAUAUAUAUUGAUUGAUUGAUUGAUAACCAUGACAACAAUACUUUGAUAAUAUUACCUUGUAACUUUAUGAUUUUGCCUUAAAUCAACAGUUUGGAUCCACCUACACAUUAAAGGGUUUGUCUUUA